rnacentral:rRNA from 1 species
AAAACGACUCUCGGCAACGGAUAUCUCGGCUCACGCAUCGAUGAAGAACGUAGCAAAAUGCGAUACUUGGUGUGAAUUGCAGAAUCCCGUGAACCAUCGAGUUUUUGAACGCAAGUUGCGCCCGAAGCCAUCCGGUUGAGGGCACGUCUGCCUGGGCGUCACGCAUCACGUCG